rnacentral:rRNA from 1 species
UACGUAGGGUGCAAGCGUUGUCCGGAAUUAUUGGGCGUAAAGAGCUCGUAGGCGGUUUGUCGCGUCUGCUGUGAAAACUCGGGGCUUAACUCCGGGCCUGCAGUGGGUACGGGCAGACUAGAGUGCGGUAGGGGAGACUGGAAUUCCUGGUGUAGCGGUGAAAUGCGCAGAUAUCAGGAGGAACACCGGUGACGAAGGCGGGUCUCUGGGCCGUAACUGACGCUGAGGAGCGAAAGCGUGGGGAGCGAACAGG